rnacentral:rRNA from 1 species
GAUGAACGCUGGCGGCGUGCCUAAUACAUGCAAGUCGAGCGAACGGACGAGAAGCUUGCUUCUCUGAUGUUAGCGGCGGACGGGUGAGUAACACGUGGAUAACCUCCCUAUAAGACUGGGAUAACUUCGGGAAACUGGCGCUAAUACCGGAUAAUAUUUUGAACCGUAUGGUUCAAUAGUGAAAUACGGUCUUGCUGUCACUUAUAGAUGUAUCCCCGCUGCAUUAGCUAGUUGGUAAGGUAACGGCUUACCAAGGCAACAUUGCAUAGCCGACCGAAGAGGGGGUUCGGCCACCCUGGAACGAGACAACGGUCCAGACUCCUACGGGAGGAAGCGGAGGGGAAUCUUCCGAAUGGGGCGAAAGCCGGACGGAGCAACGCCGGUGAGUGAAGAAAGUUCUUCGGUUCGAAAAACCCUGUUAAUAGGGAAGAACAUAGGGGUAAGGAACUGUGCACACCGUGACGGUACCUAAUCAGAAAGCCACGGCUAACUACGUG